rnacentral:lncRNA from 1 species
CCAGCCUUGCUGUGGUCUUACCUCCUGGGCCACACCCCUGCCCUCCUCCUGAGAUUGCCAGGCCCCUGCCUGUUUCAUCUCAGUGCUGAGGAUGGCAUGCGGCACACAGCCGGUGCUUACAACAUUUAUAUAUUGAAUGAAGGAACCAUGAAGUCCGUCAACCAGUCUCUUCUCACCCAUCCCAAUCCCUGAUGAUCCCAUUAGCCAACCGUAAAAGGUGGCCACACAUGGCAGAGUGAGACGCAAGAGAACCUCCACCCAGGGGGAAGGCGAUGGGUGGGCGCUUGAGCCAUCUCGGCAGAAUUCACUUUUCUUUCUUUGCACCCAAAGGCCCUUUUCAAACUGGAGAAACCCCAGAGUGACCAGCUCAGCCCAGUUUGCUGAGGACCGUCCUAGUUUUCACAUGGAAAGUCCUGGAUCCUGGAGACUCCCUUGGUGCUGGGUAAAGCAUGCCAGCUCAGCGCAGGGAGGGGCGGAGGGCCAGCCCAGUCUUGUCUGCUUGCCUCUGGGCACAUUCUGGACGGCCCACUCCUGUCCCCGGCACUGCAGAGGGAAGGAGCGCCUGCGCCUGGCCAGCACCUUCCUGUGCUUUGGGAGUUGGCCUCACGCCGCCACCACGGAGCUGCUUUUCCUGCCCCUGUUUCUCUUUUUAGAAAGUUUAAUGAGAGACAUGCCUGCUGCCAUCUGAAGUUUGAUCAGCUACGGUCACUGUGUGCCCACAUGGCGGCGUGGGAUUCCAGCCCGGAGCAGGGAAACUUGACGUUCUCGGCAGCCUGGAAAUGUGGGAUUUCCGUUCAGCUUGUUGUAAUGCGGAGCCCGGCUCCAGGGACCCCGUCUCCCUCUUGGCAGCCUCCCAUGAGGGACUGAGGGAGCCAGGCAGGCUCUGCAGCGGGUGCUGUACUCCUUGGGGAGGCCCCACUUCCCCGCUC